rnacentral:lncRNA from 1 species
UCUCAUUCACCUUUCAUCAUCUCUCUUCUCUAGGUGUUGGUUUCAAACAAAAUAUUCUCUUUUCUCCAAGAAAAGAAGUAAAAACAAAAAAAAGUCUAGAUCAAGGAUGUCCGCCAGCAUAUGCCGUUGCCCAUUGCAGUGGGCAAUGGACAUGUAAAUGGCCAGUGCCCACCCUAGAUAUCCAUAAAUACCCAAGAGAGGGAGCCGGCAUUUCUGUGGCCAUCAAGCCAACAGUAGACACAAAUGUGCAGUUGA